rnacentral:rRNA from 1 species
UACGGAGGGUGCGAGCGUUGUCCGGAAUCACUGGGCGUAAAGGGCGCGUAGGCGGCGCGAUAAGGCGGCGGUGAAAGUCCGGGGCUCAACCCCGGAUCGGCCGUGGCGACUGUCGCGCUGGAGCACAGUAGAGGCGGGUGGAAUUCCGGGUGUAGCGGUGGAAUGCGUAGAGAUCCGGAAGAACACCGGUGGCGAAGGCGGCCCGCUGGGCUGUGGCUGACGCUGAGGCGCGACAGCGUGGGGAGCGAACAGG